AGAGGUGGGCGAUGGAUUCUGCUGGACUUUUUUUUUCCUUGCGCGGGUUCUUUUGCCAUCUAGAAAACCGAGUGGGGGAGAGGAGCGGCACUAGGCAGGAUGUGAAACGGAAGAGGCGGACGAAAGGAACGGGCAAAAAGUUUUUUGACGUGAUAGGAAACCUUACUCUUUUUUUGGUAAGUAGAGAUGGUCCGUUCUGUCCUCUAGGAAACCUUUAUUGUUGAGUUGUUCCUUUGUGCUACUGUUCCUCUUUUUGUUUUUUCCCCUUUUGGUGUCUUCCUUCCCUGUUUUGUAGUUCCAUUUUGCACUGGAUUUUGGCAGUGGCAAAGUAAUAAACUUAUCACUGGCGUGCACUCAUUUGACCUUUUGCUUUGUGCACACAAUCAUGCAUUAAUCUUUGGUUAUGUUGCUAUUAUUUUGCAGUCAGAUGCAUCUUUUGUGAAUAGCUCUUGUAGAGUUAAUCAGUGGGCUAUGGAAAAUUUACCCCUCACUCUAUAGAUUGGUUGGUUUGAGGCUUAGUACUCCCUCCAUUCCUAAAUAUAGGGUGUAUAGUUUUUGGCACGGAAAUUAAAGAAUGCACAUGGAGGAAAAAUUUCACAAGUUUUGGGCAAGACUACACCUGACUAAUUAAUAUGAGAAAAUAGAGGAGCUUGCCCUGUGUAAGGAAAUGUAAUCAAAUCCCUUAAAAAGUUAUUCAAAUGAGUGGUGCAAGGCAAUACACCUUAUAUUUUGAACUUUUUCUCAAAAAUCUAUACACCUUAUAUCAAGGAACGGAGGGAGUAUAUAUUUUCUCCCUGAAUGCUAUAUAGUAUUUACAAAAAAAAUGCUCUCAAUAAUGUCCAUGCCUCUAAAUUUUUUUUGAAGAUUAAAUUCAGUUAGCUAAGUUUCAUUAUAUGGAUUUCUAACAGUUUAAUCUGCAGAAUGUUUUCAGACUAUCAGCUGAUUUUGCUGUAAGAUCAUGAAUCACAAGAAUCGUCACCUCUGUUUGGUUAAUCUAUCUAAUUUUGCUAUUUCUCCAUUGGUUUGUUGCUUUAAAAGCCAUGUUUGAAUUGUCUUUAUAUUUGAUUAACUGUACUAUGUACAUUAUAAUAUUAUGUACUUUGGUGAAGUACGGCCUCUAUUGUUUGCUUCUAGUAGCUCCCAAAUUGCCAUUUUUCUGAUUGCCUUUUUUGACCAACAAAGACUGAAACUCAUUUUUGCCAUUUUUCUGAUCCUGUUAUAUCUUUUUUAUGUUUAUGUCAUUUUCUUGGAUAUAAUGAAGUCAGUGCAUUUUGUUGUUUCCUUGAAACUCAUUUUUUGGGAUUUACUUGGUUUCUUACCAUGUAUCUUGUGGUACAAGCAAUAACUCUGUAUGAGUUUGCGUUGGUAUGCAGGGUUACUUGGCAUGUCAAAGAACCACAAUCCAUAACUGGCCCUGCAAGCAUCUCAGUUCUUGUAGGUUUAUGAAGGUGAGCGCCCUGUUGGCAAAAUAGGGCAUGCGAUCUUCUUAUGUCAAACCCUUGUUAAUCAAUUUGCAUCGUGGAAUGUCUUGAUGAAUGUACAUAUCUGGAAAGUUACUCUAUUCUGCUGGUGCAGGCUGGAAUGCUGUUAUAUCCAUUGAUGUCUUUGAGCAUUUUCUCCAUUGAUGUCAAUCGUGUCACUUUUUCCUUUCUAAAUAGGCAAAUAUCAGUAUAUGACAUUUCCCAGGAAAAGGCUCACGGCCAUUCUAAAAGGAAAUGAAUAAAGAAAAAAAGGAAAAAGAAAAGGACGGAAUUAGCUGCAAACGUUUGUCCCCACGGGUUGACAUUUACAAAUGAUUUGCCAAGAGCCAUGCAGUGCCCGCACGACAAUGUUUUGCC
rnacentral:lncRNA from 1 species